AUUGAACGCUGGCGGCAUGCCUUACACAUGCAAGUCGAACGGUAACAGGUUUUCGGCUGCUUACGAGUGGCGAACGGGAGAGUAAUAGAUCGGAACGGGCCCGAUUGUGGGGGAUAACGCAGCGAAAGGUGUGCUAAUUCACCAUACGACCUAAUACGGCAUGCGGGUGAACGCAAGACCUCGUCCGAGCGGAGGGGCCGAUGGGAGAUUAGGUAGGUGGUGGGAUAAAAGCUGACCAAGCCGACGAUCGGUAGCUGGUCUGAGAGGACGACCAGCCACACUGGGACUGAGACACGGCCCAGACUCCUACGGGAGGCAGCAGUGGGGAAUUUUGGACAAUGGGCGCAAGCCUGAUCCAGCCAUGCCGCGUGCGGGAUGAAGGCCUUCGGGUUGUAAACUGCUUUUGUACGGAAAGAAAAAGCUCUCUCUAAUACAGGGGGUGACUGACGGUACCGUAAGAAUAAGCACCGGCUAACUACGUG
rnacentral:rRNA from 1 species